rnacentral:rRNA from 1 species
UACGGAGGGGGCUAGCGUUGUUCGGAAUUACUGGGCGUAAAGCGCACGUAGGCGGACUGGAAAGUUGGAGGUGAAAUCCCAGGGCUCAACCUUGGAACUGCCUUCAAAACUAUCAGUCUGGAGUUCGAGAGAGGUGAGUGGAAUUCCGAGUGUAGAGGUGAAAUUCGUAGAUAUUCGGAGGAACACCAGUGGCGAAGGCGGCUCACUGGCUCGAUACUGACGCUGAGGUGCGAAAGCGUGGGGAGCAAACAGG